rnacentral:lncRNA from 1 species
AUGACAACAUGCCCUUGCAUUUGCUUUAGAGGAAAAUUCCAUGUAAUUUCUUGAAAUAAUGGUACCACCAUUUUAUUCUUACAUGAUGUAUGCAAGCUAUAUGGUGGACCAGAAAAAAUGCACUUGGGCAUUUAGGACAUUCCCCACAUAGGAAACAAGUGUUAGGUCUUUAUGCAUGUGAUUAACUUAAUUGUGAUGUUCCAGAGUAUGGUGCAGGGUUAACGAUGGACUGAGGUUUUGGUGGUUGAUAUGAGAUUUGGAGUCAUUUGAGUCUAUUUUUUAACUCUCAGACGUUUAGUUGAAAAUUAUUUAGUUUGCAAACCAAUAGGGGAAUUUGUCUGGUCAAAUUUUAUAUAAGGUGCAAGAGUGGCUUUUGUUGGUUAGAGAUCUAUUUGAAUGCUGCUAUUAUUACAUAUUAGCCUAGUAUUUAAAGCAACUUAUGCCUAUGUCUAGGGCUGCAGGCGAGUUUAACUAUUUAUCAUUUUUAGUGAAGCUGGAUUGUAGGCUAGGUAUACAGAUCCAUCGCCUACAAACUUUGUUCUGCGUUCAAAUCUUUUUGCUCUGCUUUAAAUAGAGGGAUAUUUUUACCUACUCUUUUGUUUUGGCUAUAAUAGCUGAUUAAGACUGAUGAUUUUUUUAUCAACUACAUUUACCAUUAGGAUGGGAUUUGUCCAAUAUCUGCACAAGACAUUUUCUGCUGCUAUUGCUAGAUGUUCAUUGUUGGAUCUAGGUUGAUUCCUGUGUAAGAAACUGCCUAUUAAUAUAACUUGAUGGCUGUAAUAUCAAGUGAUUAGUUCAUUACAUAGAUUUUCAUGCUUUUAUCAAAGCAGGAGUUUACAUGUUCUAAAGCUGGUUACUUCGUAAAGUUGAUUGUUGAUGUUGUGACUGUUAUGUAGUUGGGAAACACUAAUACCCCUAGGUUAUUUUUCUUUUCCCUCAACUCUAUCAUUUAUCCCAUCGAAUGGGAACUCACUCUUCCGCUAUUAUUUUUCAGGUCGUGGAACGAUGGGUGCUGGUGGCAGAAUGUCUGUUCCUCCUCCAUCUAAGAAAGUGGAAUCCGAUGACUUGAAGCGAGCUCCCUCCUCAAAGCCGCCAUUCACCCUUGGUCAGAUCAAGAAGGCCAUCCCACCUCAUUGUUUCAAGCGAUCUAUUCCCCGCUCAUUCUCAUAUGUCGUUUAUGAUCUGACCAUUGCCUUUCUCUUCUAUUAUGUUGCCACCAAUUACUUCCACCUCCUUCCUGAACCUCUAUCUUAUGUGGCCUGGCCAAUUUACUGGGCUCUCCAAGGAUGCGUCCUCACUGGUGUUUGGGUUAUAGCACAUGAGUGUGGCCACCAUGCCUUCAGUGACUAUCAAU